AGCGGGAAAAGCUCAAAUUUAAAAUCUGGCGUCCUCCGGUCGUCCGAGUUGUAAUCUGGAGAAGCGUUUUCCGCGUCGGACCGUGUACAAGUCUUCUGGAACGGAGCGUCAUAGAGGGUGAGAAUCCCGUCUCUGACACGGACUACCGAUGCUUUUGUGAUGCGCUCUCGAAGAGUCGAGUUGUUUGGGAAUGCAGCUCAAAAUGGGWGGUAAAUUCCWUCUAAAGCUAAAUAUUGGCCAGAGACCGAUAGCGAACAAGUACCGUGAGGGAAAGAUGAAAAGCACUUUGGAAAGAGAGUUAAACAGUACGUGAAAUUGUUGAAAGGGAAACGCUUGAAGUCAGUCGCGUUGRUCGAGACUCAGCCUGGCUUGCCUGGUGUACUUCUCGGUUGACGGGUCAGCAUCAGUUUUGACCGYCGGAUAAAGGUUGGAGGAAUGUGGCAUCCYUCGGGAUGUGUUAUAGCCUCUGAUUCGCAUACGGCGAUUGGGACUGAGGAACUCAGCACGCCUUUAUGGUCGGGGUUCGCCCACGUAACGUGCUUAGGAUGCUGGCAUAAUGGCUUUAAGCGACCCGUCUUGAAACACGGACCAAGGAGUCUAACAUGCCCGCGAGUGUUUGGGUGUCAAACCCGAGCGCGUAAUGAAAGUGAAAGUUGAGAUCC
rnacentral:rRNA from 1 species